rnacentral:rRNA from 1 species
GCGCGGUCGUUGUCUUUUUUUUUGCGAAGGAACCCGCAACUGAACGCUCAGCGGUCUCACUCGCCACGCGCGGGGCGCCGCCGCGCCGGGUGCGGGAUGUGUCGGAGUCCACCGGUAGCUCUAAUCGGUCGAGGGGAGGCUAAGGGGCGCCGGUACAAGGGGGUAGACCACGACCACCGCUCCGAAGCUCAAGGACGGUGUCAAACGUCAUCGCAUAGGAACAGCUCCAUCCAAUGUGGCGUUGGACUAAGUAGCUUACGAAGUUUAAAACUAGGUAUAGGUACACAACGUCAACAUGAUAAAAGGUCGUACUAAAGCGAUACGUAACGAUGCGUGGUCUACCCGAUUGAGCCCGAGUUAGCUUAAGGACCGCAAAAAUCGACACUUAUCGCUUAACGUCCUAUAAGACGACCUCUCUACACUGUCUUUUAUGUCUGGGCCUCUUGAGAAGAGGCAACCGACCUUGGCUCCCUCUAGCCUUAGACCUGCAUGGUAGAACACAUAGCCAACGCCAUAGUAGUACGACCUACUCUAUCAUAUAGAACAUACGUGAAUCAUACCCUCCCUCGUGUCUCCACAACCAUCGCUAAUACCUCUGUAACAUCUUUGGCGACCGUAGUCACUUAUCUCGACACCGUCGACAUAUCAGACGUUUCUCUAUCCAACCCGACUGGCCGGCUAAUAAACAGAGGGUGUCCUUCGGUAACAUUAUAUAUAGUUUAAGGGCGGACGAGACUAAGACCUUUAGUCAUAUUAUGUUUAACUCCAUCAUGGGUCCGCCACGGUACCGGCCGGUCCGUCUUCCUUGACGG